UGCACAUCCUUAGGUGCAAAAAAUAAAGUCUCUUUUGCAACCCAGAGUCAUUGUUCAGUAUGACUUUUGAUACAUCUAAGAAGGAAUAUU
rnacentral:snoRNA from 1 species